GACGAACGCUGGCGGCGUGCUUAACACAUGCAAGUCGAACGGAAAGACCCUGCUUUUGUGGGGUGCUCGAGUGGCGAACGGGUGAGUAACACGUGAGUAACCUGCCCUUGACUUUGGGAUAACUUCAGGAAACUGGGGCUAAUACCGGAUAGGAGCUCCUGCUGCAUGGUGGGGGUUGGAAAGUUUCGGCGGUUGGGGAUGGACUCGCGGCUUAUCAGCUUGUUGGUGGGGUAGUGGCUUACCAAGGCUUUGACGGGUAGCCGGCCUGAGAGGGUGACCGGCCACAUUGGGACUGAGAUACGGCCCAGACUCAUACGGGAGGCAGCAGUGGGGAAUAUUGCACAAUGGGCGGAAGCCUGAUGCAGCAACGCCGCGUGCGGGAUGACGGCCUGCGGGUUGUAAACCGCUUUCGCCUGUGACGAAGCGUGAGUGACGGUAAUGGGUAAAGAAGCACCGGCUAACUACGU
rnacentral:rRNA from 1 species